rnacentral:rRNA from 1 species
UACGUAGGGGGGCAAGCGUUGUCCGGAAUCAUUGGGCGUAAAGCGCGUGUAGGCGGCCUUGCAAGUCGGAUGUGAAAGCCCACGGCUCAACCGUGGAAGUGCAUCCGAAACUGCAUAGCUUGAGUCUCGGAGAGGAAGGUGGAAUGCUUGGGUGUAGAGGUGAAAUUCGUAGAUAUCGGGAGGAACACCAGUGGCGAAAGGCGGCGAUCUGGGAAGAUACGUGACGCUGAGGUGCGAAAGCGUGGGGAGCAAACAGG